rnacentral:rRNA from 1 species
CACGUAGGGUGCGAGCGUUGUCUGGAAUUAUUGGGCGUAAAGAGCUCGUAGGCGGUGUGUCGCGUCGGCCGUGAAAACCUGCAGCUUAACUGUGGGCGUGCGGUCGGUACGGGCAUCACUGGAGUUCGGCAGGGGAGACUGGAAUUCCUGGUGUAGCGGUGAAAUGCGCAGAUAUCAGGAGGAACACCGGUGGCGAAGGCGGGUCUCUGGGCCGAUACUGACGCUGAGGAGCGAAAGCGUGGGGAGCGAACAGG